AGUGAACGCUGGCGGUAGGCCUAACACUUGCAAGUCGAACGGCAGCACAGUAAGAGCUUGCUCUUACGGGUGGCGAGUGGCGGACGGGUGAGGAAUACAUCGGAAUCUACUUUUUCGUGGGGGAUAACGUAGGGGAACUUACGCUAAUACCGCAUACGACCUACGGGUGAAAGCAGGGGAUCUUCGGACCUUGCGCGAUUGAAUGAGCCGAUGUCGGAUUAGCUAGUUGGCGGGGUAAAGGCCCACCAAGGCGACGAUCCGUAGCUGGUCUGAGAGGAUGAUCAGCCACACUGGAACUGAGACACGGUCCAGACUCCUACGGGAGGCAGCAGUGGGGAAUAUUGGACAAUGGGCGCAAGCCUGAUCCAGCCAUACCGCGUGGGUGAAGAAGGCCUUCGGGUUGUAAAGCCCUUUUGUUGGGAAAGAAAAGCAGCAGGUUAAUACCCCGCUGUUCUGACGGUACCCAAAGAAUAAGCACCGGCUAACUUCGUG
rnacentral:rRNA from 1 species